GGUUUGAUCUGUCAGAUUGAACGCUGGCGGAUGCUUUACAUGCGAGUCGAACGGCGGCACGGACUUCGGUCUGGUGGCGGUGGCGAACGGGUGGGUAAUGUCGGAACGUACUUAAUGGCGGGGGAUAACUACGCGAAAGCGUAGCUAAUGCCGCAUACGCCCUUCGGGGAAAAGCAGGGGACCUUCGGGCCUCGCACUGUUAGAGCAGCCAUUAUCGGAUUAGCUGGUUGGUGGGGUAACGGCUCGCAAGGCGACGAUCCGUAGCUGGUUUGAAGGACGACCAGCCACACUGGGACUGAGACACGGCCCCAGACUCCUACGGGAGGCAGCAGUGGGGAAUUUUGGACAAUGGGGAAACCCUGAUCCAACCAUCCCGCGUGUACGAUGAAAGGCCUUCAGGUUGUAAGCACUUUUGGCAGGAAAGAAACGGCCUGGGAUAAUACCCCGUGCAACUGACGGUACCUGCAGAAUAAGCACCGGUAACGCAUUACUUGUAGCCGCGGUAUUGCGUAGGGUGCAAGCGUUAAUCGGAAUUACUGGGCGUAGCGUGCGCAGAGCGGUUCGGAAAGAAAGAUGUGAAAUCCCAGAGCUUAACUUUGGAGACUGCAUUUUUUUUAACUACCGAGCUAGAGUGUGUCAGAGGGAGGUGGAAUUCCGCAUUCUUUGGCAGUGAAAUGCGUAGAUAUGCGGAGGAACACCGAUAGCGAAACGGCCUCCUGCGUACAGCGCUCAUGCACGAAAGCGUGGGGAGCAAACAGGAUUAGAUACCUGGUAGUCCACUUUAAACGAUGUCAACCUAGCUGUUUGGGGCCUUCGGGCCUUGUUAGCGCAGCUAACACGUAACGCGUGAAGUUGACCGCCUGGGGAGUACAGUCGCAAGAUUAAAACUCAAAGGAAUUGACGGGGACCCGCACAAGCGGUGGAUGAUGUGGAUUAAUUCGAUGCAACGCGAAAAACCUUACCUACCCUUGACAUGUCUGGAAUCCCGAAGAGAUUUGGGAGUGCUCGCAGAACCGGAACACAGGUGCUGCAUGGCUGUCGUCAGCUCUCAUUGUCGUGAGAUGUUGGGUUAAGUCCCCUCAACACAAGCGCAGCCCUUGUCAUUAGUUGCUGCGAAAGGGCCUCUAGUAAGGCUGCCGGUGACAAACCGGAGGAAGGUGGGGAUGACGUCAAGUCCUCCUUGGCCCUUAUGGUAGGGCUUCACACGUCAUACAAUGGUCGGGACAGAGGGUCGCCAGCCCGCGAGGCCAAUCCAAACCCGAUCGUAGUCGGAUCGCAGUCUGCAACUCGACUGCGUGAAGUCGGAAUCGCCUUCUAAUCGCGGAUCAGCAUGUCGCGGUGAAUACGUUCCCAGGUCUUGUACACACCGCCCGUCACACCAUGGGAAUUAGGUUUUACCAGAAGUAGUUAGCCUAACCGUAAGGAGGGCGAUUACCGCACACUAUUGGUGAUUCAUGACUGGGGUGAAGUCGUAACAAGGUAA
rnacentral:rRNA from 1 species